GAACGGACGAGAAGCUUGCUUCUCUGAUGUUAGCGGCGGACGGGUGAGUAACACGUGGAUAACCUACCUAUAAGACUGGGAUAACUUCGGGAAACCGGAGCUAAUACCGGAUAAUAUUUUGAACCGCAUGGUUCAAAAGUGAAAGACGGUCUUGCUGUCACUUAUAGAUGGAUCCGCGCUGCAUUAGCUAGUUGGUAAGGUAACGGCUUACCAAGGCAACGAUGCAUAGCCGACCUGAGAGGGUGAUCGGCCACACUGGAACUGAGACACGGUCCAGACUCCUACGGGAGGCAGCAGUAGGGAAUCUUCCGCAAUGGGCGAAAGCCUGACGGAGCAACGCCGCGUGAGUGAUGAAGGUCUUCGGAUCGUAAAACUCUGUUAUUAGGGAAGAACAUAUGUGUAAGUAACUGUGCACAUCUUGACGGUACCUAAUCAGAAAGCCACGGCUAACUACGUGCCUGCAGCCGCGGUAAUACGUAGGUGGCAAGCGUUAUCCGGAAUUAUUGGGCGUAAAGCGCGCGUAGGCGGUUUUUUAAGUCUGAUGUGAAAGCCCACGGCUCAACCGUGGAGGGUCAUUGGAAACUGGAAAACUUGAGUGCAGAAGAGGAAAGUGGAAUUCCAUGUGUAGCGGUGAAAUGCGCAGAGAUAUGGAGGAACACCAGUGGCGAAGGCGACUUUCUGGUCUGUAACUGACGCUGAUGUGCGAAAGCGUGGGGAUCAAACAGGAUUAGAUACCCU
rnacentral:rRNA from 1 species